AGCUCUCUGCAGUGGCAGUAUCAUAGCCAAUGAGGUUUAUCCAAGGCGUGAUUAUUACUAAUUGAAAAUGA
rnacentral:snRNA from 1 species